GCAAGUCGAACGAGACCUUCGGGUCUAGUAGCGCACGGGUGCGUAACGCGUGGGAAUCUGCCCUUGGGUUCGGAAUAACAGUUGGAAACGACUGCUAAUACCGGAUGAUGACGUAAGUCCAAAGAUUUAUCGCCCAGGGAUGAGCCCGCGUAGGAUUAGCUAGUUGGUGAGGUAAAGGCUCACCAAGGCGACGAUCCUUAGCUGGUCUGAGAGGAUGAUCAGCCACACUGGGACUGAGACACGGCCCAGACUCCUACGGGAGGCAGCAGUGGGGAAUAUUGGACAAUGGGCGAAAGCCUGAUCCAGCAAUGCCGCGUGAGUGAUGAAGGCCUUAGGGUUGUAAAGCUCUUUUACCCGGGAUGAUAAUGACAGUACCGGGAGAAUAAGCUCCGGCUAACUCCGUGCCAGCAGCCGCGGUAGUACGGAGGGAGCUAGCGUUGUUCGGAAUUACUGGGCGUAAAGCGCACGUAGGCGGCGAUCUAAGUCAGAGGUGAAAGCCCGGGGCUCAACCCCGGAAUAGCCUUUGAGACUGGAUUGCUUGAAUCCAGGAGAGGUGAGUGGAAUUCCGAGUGUAGAGGUGAAAUUCGUAGAUAUUCGGAAGAACACCAGUGGCGAAGGCGGCUCACUGGACUGGUAUUGACGCUGAGGUGCGAAAGCGUGGGGAGCAAACAGG
rnacentral:rRNA from 1 species